GUCGGCAUCGAGGAGGAAGGCCUCCGCCACAGUUCGCGCCUGCGGGUGGACAGCCAUCGUCAACUCCAGUUCGAUCCGGUGGUGGCG
rnacentral:tRNA from 1 species